GCCUGGGGUCCCAGCUACUUGGGGAGGCUGAGGCAGGAGGAUCACUUGAGCCCAGGAGUUCUGAGCCAUAGCAUACUAUGCUAUUUGCAUGUCCACACUAAGUUUGGCAUCUAUAUGGUGACCUUCUGGGAGCAGGGAAUCGUCAGCUUGCCUAACGAGGGGUGAACUAGCCCAGAUCAGAAAUGGAACAGGUCAAAACUCCUGUGUUGAUUAGUAGUGGCUUGUGCCUAUAAAUAGUCAUUGCACUCCAGCCUGGGCAACAUAGCAAGACCUUGACUCUU
rfam:Otolemur garnettii contig099633, whole genome shotgun sequence.